rnacentral:misc_RNA from 1 species
CUGAUUUGUUGCUUUGUUAAGAAACAAACAAAGACAAAGUCCAUUCCCAUAUACAUAAAAUUAACCCACCUUCCUUCUCACUCUAGUCUCAUUUUUCUUCUAUGCGAAAUCAUCAUACGAAUUUCUUCAAUCCUCGACUCUAUGGUGGAAUUCUCUUAUAAUUCAAAACCCAUACUCUCCAUGGCUCUGUCUCGCUUCUCUCUGUUGCCUUUGAUUCACAUUGCCCUGUUUACCACCCUCUGUUUUGCGGCAGACCCCUCCGUUUCCUAUGAAUUUAGACUUUCUUACAUCACUGCAUCUCCUCUUGGUGUUCCUCAGCAGGUUAUAGCAGUUAAUGGGGAGUUUCCUGGUCCUAUUAUUAAUGCUACUACUAACUACGUUGUUAUUGUUAACGUAUGGAAUGACUUGGAUGAAAAUCUCCUAAUGACUUGGCCUGGAAUCCAAAUGCGGCGUGAUUCAUGGCAGGAUGGUGUUCGUGGCACAAAUUGUCCAAUUCCUCCCAAAGAGAAUUUUACUUAUAAUUUUCAAGUCAAGGAUCAGAUUGGAAGCUUUUUCUAUUUUCCAUCCUUGAAUCUUCAAAGAGCAUCUGGUGGUUUUGGUUCCUUUAUCAUUAAUAAUCGAGAAAUUAUCCCAAUUCCUUUUUCACAGCCUGAUGGGGAUAUUAUCCUUCUGAUUGGUGACUGGUAUACACAAAACCAUACGGCAUUGAGAACUGCCCUUGACUCUGGAAAAGACCUUGGCAUGCCAGAUGGAGUUCUAAUUAAUGGGAAGGGGCCUUACAGAUACAACACCACGCUUGUACCUGAUGGUAUUGAGUAUGAAACUAUUCAAGUUGAUCCAGGCAAAACUUAUCGACUGCGUGUGCACAAUGUUGGGACUUCAACUAGUUUGAACUUCAGAAUCCAGGGUCACAAUCUACUUCUUGUGGAAACAGAGGGACAUUAUACAUCGCAACAAAAUUUUACUAGCUUUGACAUUCAUGUGGGUCAAUCCUAUUCUUUUUUGGCAACCAUGGAUCAGAAUGCAACUUCUGAUUAUUAUAUUGUGGCAAGUGCUCGGUUUGUGAAUGAAUCACUUUGGCAAAGAGUCAUAGGUGUUGCAGUCUUGCAUUACUCCAAUUCUAAGGGACCAGUAUCUGGUCCUCUGCCAGAGGCACCAAGUGAUGUUUAUAACCAGUGGGCAGCAAUGACUCAGCCUAGAUCAAUCAAGCAAAAUACAACUGCAAGUGGGGCUCGCCCUAAUCCACAGGGAUCUUUUCACUACGGCCAAAUCAAUAUUACUGAAACAUAUGUGUUAAGGAGCUUGCCACCAGUUACAAUUGAUGGAAAGCAACGUGCAACAGUGAAUGACAUAUCAUUUGUCAAUCCUGAUACACCAAUAAGGCUUGCUGACCUGCACAAAGUGAAGGGAGCUUACAAGCUUGAUUUUCCCAAUAUGCCACUUAAUAGGCCUCCCAAGAUGGACAUAUCUGUCAUUAAUGCUACAUAUAAGGGUUUUAUCCAGGUCAUAUUGCAGAACAAUGACACCAAAAUGCUAAGCUUUCACAUGGAUGGUUAUUCAUUUUUCGUGGUUGGGAUGGACUGGGGUGUGUGGACUGAGGACAAAAAAAGUUCAUAUAAUAACUGGGAUGCUAUUUCUCGCAGUACAGUAGAGGUUUACCCUGGGGGAUGGACAGCAGUCCUUGUCUCUCUGGACAAUGUUGGAAUAUGGAAUCUUAGAGUAGAAAACCUUGACAGAUGGUAUCUGGGCCAUGAAACAUAUAUGAGAAUCAUCAAUCCCGAGGAAAACGGUGAAACGGAGAUGGCUCCACCUGAUAACGUUAGAUAUUGCGGUGCCCUACAAGGGUUGCAGAAGUAUACAUCGAAGAUUUCUAAUGCUAUAUUGUCUCUUUCCUCUCUGUUUGUGACAUGGCUAAUAAUUAUUUUUGUUGCUUCAGGACGUCAACUUUCUCCUCCGCUAUAUCCAUUCAUGGGGCUAGCAAAUCAAUGGGGUUUUUCUCUCUGCUGAAUGCACUUUGUGCCUUAUUUUUCAUUUUCGGGUAAACUUUUCUACCGGUUGGAUAGGAGAAUUCUAUUUUAGGCAAGGGGUUGCUUGUAUUGGCUGUAGUUGUAGGCGUAAUGUUAACCGUUGGGGAUACUUGAAUUGCAUAGUUGGAUUAGAUUUGCAACUUCUUUUUUUUUUUUUUUGGUUCAGUAGAAAAUUUUGAGGUUGCUAUGACAUUUUUCUUUUCAUUGAGUCUGUGGGGUGCUCUGCCCUUUUAAUUGUAAUUUAGUAGGUCAUUGGGCAUCUAUCAUUUCUGAUCUCAAAGUUACCCUUUCUUUCCGUAGAACCUGACCUUUCAUACGAGAAUUUUAUUUGUCCUGUAUAAUAUUUGAUAACUUAUGAUAAUGUUCAACACUAGUCAAGGAUCAUCCGGG